GGUCAGUUAGUAUCCUCGAACUUUGUCCCCAGCCAGUCAGCAUUAGGGUUUUAAACCAUAAACUGAACUUUUCCAUUUAGUCAGCAUUAGGGUUUUAAACCCUAAACUGAACUUUUCCAUUUAGUCAGCAUUAGGGUUUUAAACCCUAAACUGAACUUUUUCCAUUUAGUCAGCAUUAGGGUUUUAAACCCUAAACUGAAUUUUUCCUUUAGUCAGCAUUAGGGUUUUAAACCCUAAACUGAACUUUUCCAUUUAGUCAGUAUUAGGGUUUUAAACCCUAAACUGAACUUUUUCCAUUUAGUCAGCAUUAGGGUUUUAAACCCUAAACCGAACUUUUCCAUUUAGUCAGCAUUAGGAUUUUAAACCCUAAACUGAACUUUUUCCAUUUAGUCAGCAUUAGGGUUUUAAACCCUAAACUGAACUUUUCCAUUUAGUCAGCAUUAGGGUUUUAAACCCUAAACUGAACUUUUUCCUUUAGUCAGCAUUAGGGUUUUAAACCCUAAACUGAACUUUUCCAUUUAGUCAGCAUUAGGGUUUUAAACCCUAAACAGAACUUUUCCAUUUAGUCAGCAUUAGGGUUUUAAACCAUAAACUGAACUUUUCCAUUUAGUCAGCGUUAGGGUUUUAAACCCUA
rnacentral:lncRNA from 1 species